UAAUAUUAAUUUUAUUUUACACUAUUUUAUAAUUUUAAAAAAAGUGUUAAAGAGAAUGUAGAAAAGAGAAAGAGAAAGCUAGCUAAAGCGGUACCCCUAACAUAAAAUAGCUUUUGUGUAUUUUUUAUGUUAAUUAAUAAAGUAAAGCCUUUAUACAGUAAAGUUCAUGUGUUCACGAGUUUAGUGCCACAGUACAAAAAUGGACUAUUUUAGUAAAUCAAAGUGGGUAGAUCAGGAAGCUAUAGCCACCUAAAUGAUAUGAUGAACUAUCUCUAACACGAUAGUGAACAUCAUGUUCACUUUCCCAACCAAGACCAGAAUAUCAAACAUGACACAUUAAAUAAUUUAACUCUUUAAAAUAAAAUGUUUUACAAUUGAAUGUUCUGCUGUUUUUUAUUAUUACAGCAAUUUAAUAGUUUUUGAUACCUUACAGUAUGUCAGGCUUUUGCUUUAUUGACUAUUAUGUAAAGUGUGAACAUUGCAUAUUUACCAUGCAUAAUGUAAUGUUUUAAAUAUAGGUUUCUGAAUCAUCUGCGGUGUUCAAGAAAAAGCCACAUACAAUGACAGCUUUCCCCUGGUGCAUCUAUUGUAGCUGAGAUUCCCCCACCAGAAUCCAGCAAGGAAGCAAGUAGUGUUAGAACACCAAGCAGUAAGGCUAAUGCAGACUUUACCACCUAUGGUUAAGACAGCUGGUUCGCCCUCUCUUUGUCCAAAAACAUUCUUUCAAUGGCUCACAGGACAGGAACACAUCAGACCAGUUCGUCUGUGGAUAUUUGUGCUCAUUCAAUAAAUAAGUAAAACAAA